AGCACAAGUGAUGAACGACAAGGGGACUUAAUGCUGAAGCCUGAUGGUACAUGCGAGACACUGAUGUGC
ensembl:snoRNA SNORD82 Small nucleolar RNA SNORD82